UGCCUCCCACACGUCAGGAAGUCAAUGGAAAGUGACAUUUUUUACCCUGGCAUGCAGAACUGUACAGAAACACCGUCAUUCUUUUCUUGGGUUUGGGUUUUUUCUUUUUGCUUUUGGAGCAGAUAUUUGAAAGAGCAAGCACGAUUCUGAUAAAUUACAGCGGGAAAAAAAAAAUAAAUCUUGCUGAGAUUUUCAAAACUCUCUGAAUCUUUCCAGCAGGCUUCCCAGCACUGCUGUGUUUCAGUUUGGUUCAUUAGCAGUCUCCAAGGAUAAACCACUGGAUUUCCAGCAUGCCUUUCCCCUGUUCAUUGCCAGCACUAAGGAACCUUUCAAAAAUUAACCUGAGAGCAGCUGGAAAAGGCUAGUCUGACACCUUUUCUUGUGAAUGGGACACAGUCAGGAUUCCCACAGUGCCAGCUUAUUACCCAACACUCUCACAUUCUAUGUGAUGCCAGGCUUUGACCUUGGCAAAGGUUGUGCUGCCUCUCUGCCUGCUGCAACUAGCUGGCACCUCUGAGGAGGCUGCCACGUCACACCUUGCUGGAGUUGGGGAGAAUGUG